rnacentral:lncRNA from 1 species
CUGUAGGUAUUGUCCAAAAUCAAGGACACCAUGCUUGUCUAGCUUGUCUAACAUGAUGCGUAAGAAUCCAUCCUCUUUAUCAAACUCACAGAAAGUAAAAAAAUAAACUUAACUCUGAAUAUUUUGUGCCUUGAUUCACACUGGAGGUGAUUUUCCUCUGGCAUCUGGUUCCAAAGGCAUGUGGGUUUAUGAUGUUCACAGAAGUUGCUUUCAGGUCAGCCCUUCAUUUGUCAGAAUACUGGAGGAAGCAGACAUAGAGAGAGAGAGAGCGAGAGAGAGAGAAUGUUGUCUGUCUAUACAUGAACUGCUUCAAAUGCUUGUGCAAAGUAGAACAUGGAUGUGAAUUGCGUGACCAAAUCCAUGAGAAUCAUUAAACAAGGAGCUUGGACAACCAGAAGUGCAGUGAAGUGAAGUGAGGUUCAUAUCCUCUGGUGACCAUAAACGUAAUGAAUCGCUCAAUCAAUCACAAUAAUACUGUAAUUAGUACCACUAUAAUUGCAAUCAUAUUGUUUGCAAGUUUCAUAUUGAUGUCAACCAUUACCUGAGUGUCUCUGAAACUGUGGGACAAGAAACGGAACUCUAUCCAGUUUACUAAAAUUAAACAAUCAGUGACCAGACAGGCCCAGAUAUAGCUGGGCAAGUGGAAACACUGAUCUUUAUGACCGCCCCUGCUGCCAAUUUUCAUAACUUUGCUAUGGCUGGAUGUAAACCUCAGCACUAAUCAUGCAUUCAGUACACAAAACAAGGCUUAAUAGGGCAAAGAUCCAUAAUUCUAUCUAGUGCAUUCUUCUAAGAAUUCAUGAGAGCGAGUUCUGCACUCGGCAAAUCAGGUCGGGCCCGGUAUUUAUUGUUCGCCAGACCGACACGUCUAAUCGGGACCAUUAAAUGGAUAACCUCAAUAACAUCCGUAUGAAUACGAAACAUGAUCAUCUCUGGCAAUGACUACUGCCACCUUCCCUGCUAAUUCGCGACGAACGCUCAAAGGACUGGACACAGAAAUAAGGACUGAGGGAAGGACUCGCCCACUUGAACCAGCUGCCCAAUGUAAUGGUGCUGCUGGGAGGUUGAUUACUACCAUCUGAGGGCACCCGGAAUCACGUCGAAGAAUGAGUGUCUACGAAACGGAGAUCAACAGAUGGGUAUAAAGUGAUCUGGCAAAAAGGCAAGUUGCACCAUGGGCACGCUUCAGUGGGUAAAAUACACUUGGAUUGAACUACAUAUGUUAUAUUAUAUUUUGGAGCUCUCACACUCUCAAUCGGAUGGAGCUUCCAUGUAUGCUGAUUCGGUUGAUUCACAGAAUCGGUUGAUGGAUCAGUUAUGGGAUGGAAGGGCUGGAGGACCUCGACCUAGAAAAGAGGUUCAGAAUAAGGCACACGACACUGCAUGUACACGAGGCAAUCCUACGAGAAGUGUUAACAGGAGAGGGGACAUAAGAGCACCGUGCAUUCAAUCAGAAGUACGAGGAGUUGAGCGGCACGUCAUUUUACCUGGGGGAUGAACAUCAGACACCUUCUGAUCUUCGUCCUACUGAUCCACCAACUUCGAUCGCAAUCCUUGAUCCCUUGGCACACGAAUGUUGCAGCCCCGAAAACUUUUCUUUCCAAGGUUUUCUUGUCGAACUUUCAUACCGCCCAUCAAUGCUUACAAGCUCAAAUACCAUCUAGAUGCCAUCACCGUCUGAGCCUUGAGAAUUUCGCAGAAUCUAAUAAUGUGCGGUAUGUUCGCACGUUAGGUGUAAAUAGCUUGACGGCAUUCAACUGCUAUCGUUACCAACAAUCCCAUCACCGACUCGUAAUGCUAAUAAAGCAAGAAUUGCCACAAGCAUUAUAGAUCAAGAGAUGGGCCAGAACGGAGAAUGUACAAG